rnacentral:misc_RNA from 1 species
GAUGAGAACGCAGCGAAAUGCGAUAAGUAAUGUGAAUUGCAGAAUUCAGUGAAUCAUCGAAUCUUUGAACGCACAUUGCGCCCGCCAGUAUUCUGGCGGGCAUGCCUGUUCGAGCGUCAUUUCAACCAUCAAGCCCCCGGGCUUGUGUUGGGGACCUGCGGCUGCCGCAGGCCCUGAAAACCAGUGGCGGGCUCGCUAGUCACUCCGAGCGUAGUAGUUACAUCUCGCUCAGGGCGUGCUGCGGGUUCCGGCCGUUAAAAGCCUUUUACCCCAAGGUUGACCUCGGAUCAGGUAGGAAGACCCGCUGAACUUAAGCAUAUCAAUAAGCGGAGGA